UAUGAACUGAAGGACCAGAGUCCUGAGCAGGGACAUGUCCAGUCUUGUGCUGCCUGAGUCUUCCAGGGGCACCCAGCUCCUCUGCUUUGUGGCCCUGUGUCUCCUGGGGGCAGGGUCAGUGGCUGCUGGAGUCACCCAGUCCCCAAGACACCUCAUCAAAGGCCAUGGUGGAGAGGCUGUUCUGAAAUGCCAUCCCAUCUCCGGGCACAACCGUGUGUACUGGAACCAGCAGGCUCAGGGGCAGGAACCCAGGUUUCUCAUUCAGUAUUACGAACAGAAAGAGAUCGGGAAAGGAAACUUCCCCGACCGCUUCAAAGGAAAACAGUUCAGUAACUACAGCUCCGAGCUGGCCAUGCACACCUUGCAGCUGGAAGACUCAGCCCUGUACCUCUGUGCCAGCAGCUUAGACACAGCCCUGCAGGGUCCAUGCCUUUCUGUACCCAAACCUUCCUGUCCCAGCUGA